AACCGAGUCUUAAUUGGGCGUUAAGUUGCAGGGUAUAGACCCGAAACCCGGUGAUCUAGCCAUGGGCAGGUUGAAGGUUGGGUAACACUAACUGGAGGACCGAACCGACUAAUGUUGAAAAAUUAGCGGAUGACCUGUGGCUGGGGGUGAAAGGCCAAUCAAACCGGGAGAUAGCUGGUUCUCCCCGAAAGCUAUUUAGGUAGCGCCUCGUGAAUUCAUCUCCGGGGGUAGAGCACUGUUUCGGCUAGGGGGCCAUCCCGGCUUACCAACCCGAUGCAAACUGCGAAUACCGGAGAAUGUUAUCACGGGAGACACACGGCGGGUGCUAACGUCCGUCGUGAAGAGGGAAACAACCCAGACCGCCAGCUAAGGUCCCAAAGUCAUGGUUAAGUGGGAAACGAUGUGGGAAGGCCCAGACAGCCAGGAUGUUGGCUUAGAAGCAGCCAUCAUUUAAAGAAAGCGUAAUAGCUCACUGGUCGAGUCGGCCUGCGCGGAAGAUGUAACGGGGCUAAACCAUGCACCGAAGCUGCGGCAGCGACACUAUGUGUUGUUGGGUAGGGGAGCGUUCUGUAAGCCUGUGAAGGUGGCCUGUGAGGGUUGCUGGAGGUAUCAGAAGUGCGAAUGCUGACAUAAGUAACGAUAAAGCGGGUGAAAAGCCCGCUCGCCGGAAGACCAAGGGUUCCUGUCCAACGUUAAUCGGGGCAGGGUGAGUCGACCCCUAAGGCGAGGCCGAAAGGCGUAGUCGAUGGGAAACGGGUUAAUAUUCCCGUACUUGGUGUUACUGCGAAGGGGGGACGGAGAAGGCUAUGUUGGCCGGGCGACGGUUGUCCCGGUUUAAGCGUGUAGGCUGGUUUUCCAGGCAAAUCCGGAAAAUCAAGGCUGAGGCGUGACGACGAGGCACUACGGUGCUGAAGCAACAAAUGCCCUGCUUCCAGGAAAAGCCUCUAAGCAUCAGGUAACAUCAAAUCGUACCCCAAACCGACACAGGUGGUCAGGUAGAGAAUACCAAGGCGCUUGAGAGAACUCGGGUGAAGGAACUAGGCAAAAUGGUGCCGUAACUUCGGGAGAAGGCACGCUGACACGUAGGUGAAGUGAUUUACUCAUGGAGCUGAAGUCAGUCGAAGAUACCAGCUGGCUGCAACUGUUUAUUAAAAACACAGCACUGUGCAAACACGAAAGUGGACGUAUACGGUGUGACGCCUGCCCGGUGCCGGAAGGUUAAUUGAUGGGGUCAGCGCAAGCGAAGCUCCUGAUCGAAGCCCCGGUAAACGGCGGCCGUAACUAUAACGGUCCUAAGGUAGCGAAAUUCCUUGUCGGGUAAGUUCCGACCUGCACGAAUGGCGUAAUGAUGGCCAGGCUGUCUCCACCCGAGACUCAGUGAAAUUGAACUCGCUGUGAAGAUGCAGUGUACCCGCGGCAAGACGGAAAGACCCCGUGAACCUUUACUAUAGCUUGACACUGAACAUUGAGCCUUGAUGUGUAGGAUAGGUGGGAGGCUUUGAAGUGUGGACGCCAGUCUGCAUGGAGCCGACCUUGAAAUACCACCCUUUAAUGUUUGAUGUUCUAACGUGGACCCGUGAUCCGGGUUGCGGACAGUGUCUGGUGGGUAGUUUGACUGGGGCGGUCUCCUCCUAAAGAGUAACGGAGGAGCACGAAGGUUGGCUAAUCCUGGUCGGACAUCAGGAGGUUAGUGCAAUGGCAUAAGCCAGCUUGACUGCGAGCGUGACGGCGCGAGCAGGUGCGAAAGCAGGUCAUAGUGAUCCGGUGGUUCUGAAUGGAAGGGCCAUCGCUCAACGGAUAAAAGGUACUCCGGGGAUAACAGGCUGAUACCGCCCAAGAGUUCAUAUCGACGGCGGUGUUUGGCACCUCGAUGUCGGCUCAUCACAUCCUGGGGCUGAAGUAGGUCCCAAGGGUAUGGCUGUUCGCCAUUUAAAGUGGUACGCGAGCUGGGUUUAGAACGUCGUGAGACAGUUCGGUCCCUAUCUGCCGUGGGCGCUGGAGAACUGAGGGGGGCUGCUCCUAGUACGAGAGGACCGGAGUGGACGCAUCACUGGUGUUCGGGUUGUCAUGCCAAUGGCACUGCCCGGUAGCUAAAUGCGGAAGAGAUAAGUGCUGAAAGCAUCUAAGCACGAAACUUGCCCCGAGAUGAGUUCUCCCUGAGACUUAAAGUCUCCUGAAGGAACGUUGAAGACGACGACGUUGAUAGGCCGGGUGUGUAAGCGCAGCGAUGCGUUGAGCUAACCGGUACUAAUGAACCGUGAGGCUUAACCUUACA
rnacentral:rRNA from 1 species